AUUGAACGCUGGCGGCAUGCCUUACACAUGCAAGUCGAACGGCAGCACGGGAGCAAUCCUGGUGGCGAGUGGCGAACGGGUGAGUAAUAUAUCGGAACGUGCCCAGUAGUGGGGGAUAACUGCUCGAAAGAGCAGCUAAUACCGCAUACGACCUGAGGGUGAAAGGGGGGGAUCGCAAGACCUCUCGCUAUUGGAGCGGCCGAUAUCAGAUUAGUUAGUUGGUGGGGUAAAGGCCUACCAAGGCAACGAUCUGUAGUUGGUCUGAGAGGACGACCAGCCACACUGGGACUGAGACACGGCCCAGACUCCUACGGGAGGCAGCAGUGGGGAAUUUUGGACAAUGGGCGAAAGCCUGAUCCAGCCAUUCCGCGUGCAGGAUGAAGGCCCUCGGGUUGUAAACUGCUUUUGUACAGAACGAAAAGGUUUCUACUAAUACUAGGAGCUCAUGACGGUACUGUAAGAAUAAGCACCGGCUAACUACGUGCCAGCCGCCGCGGUAAUAC
rnacentral:rRNA from 1 species